ACCCCUUACCCGGAGCUGCCCAUGAACGAGCAGUUCUACAAUGCCAUCAAGCGCGGUUACCGCAUGGCGCAGCCUGCUCACGCCUCUGCUGAGAUGUGAGUGGAGCCUCGUGCCCUGGGGGGGAUUUCCUGGAUGAGACAGUGGACAUGUAGCUCUACCAGCUUCAGCCAAAGAGAGUUCUCAGCUCAGAGAUCCAGAAAAGUCUAGCUACACCUGGCUCUGGGUGUUCGUGUGCUCAGGAAUCCCUUCUGCCCUGGGCUCUGCUUGUCUCUGGGCCAGCCUCACUCUCAGGCUGGCACUGCCCACAUGGCUGCCACAGUGCCAGCCGAUGACUUGCACUGCCAAAGCCCCAGAGCUGACCUCUGUGGCUCAGCUGGGGUCGUAUGCCAUCAGAACCCACCUCUGACCAGAGAGGAUGAAGCCCCUCUGGGCUGCACCUGGGCCACGUGCUCCCCACGGGUGGCCACCCCACAGAGCCAGUGGUGGGUGGUGCUGGCUGCCACGUCUCCCGACACCCUGGUCCCUGCUCCUCUUAUUCUGAGAGGCGGUGGCUCCAGCUCCCAGCACCGCCCGCCCCCACCAGAGCCAGGGGGCCUGACCCUCUCUGCCCCUCCC
rnacentral:lncRNA from 1 species